rnacentral:rRNA from 1 species
ACGAACGCUGGCGGCGUGCUUAACACAUGCAAGUCGAACGAGAAAGUGUAGCAAUACAUGAGUAAAGUGGCGCACGGGUCCGUAACACGUGGGUAAUCUACCUUCAGGUAAGGGACAACCUGUCGAAAGACGGGCUAAUACCUCAUAAGACCACGAGAUCGAAAGAUCUUGAGGUUAAAGGUGGCCUCUAUUUAUAAGCUAUCACUCGAAGAUGAGCCCGCGCACCAUCAGCUUGUUGGUGAGGUAAUGGCUCACCAAGGCCUAGACGGUUAGCUGGUCUGAGAGGACGACCAGCGACACUGGAACUGAGACACGGUCCAGACUCCUACGGGAGGCAGCAGUGGGGAAUUUUGGACAAUGGGCGAAAGCCUGAUCCAGCAACGCCGCGUGAGUGAUGAAGGCCUUCGGGUUGUAAAGCUCUGUCGGAGGGAACGAAUAAAGGCCACCUAACACGUGGCCAUAUGACGGUACUCUCAAAGGAAGCAACGGCUAACUCUGUGCCAGCAGCCGCGGUAAGACAGAGGUUGCAAGCGUUGUUCGGAAUCACUGGGCGUAAAGGGCGCGUAGGCGGUUCCAUAUGUCUGACGUGAAAUCCCCCGGCUUAACUGGGGAAGUGCAUCAGAAACUAUGGAGCUAGAGUGCAGAAGAGGAUAGCGGAAUUCCCGGAGUAGAGGUGAAAUCCGUAGAUACCGGGAGGAACACCUGAGGCGAAGGCGGCUAUCUGGUCUGUAACUGACGCUGAAGUGCAAAAGCACGGGGAGCAAACAGGAUUAGAUACCCUGGUAGUCCGUGCCGUAAACGAUGUUCACUAGAUGUCGGGAGAUUUGACCCUUUCGGUAUCGCAGCUAACGCAUUAAGUGAACCGCCUGGGGAGUACGGUCGCAAGAUUAAAACUCAAAGGAAUUGACGGGGGCCCGCACAAGCGGUGGAGUAUGUGGUUUAAUUCGACGCAACGCGAAGAACCUUACCUGGAUUAGAAAUCAACUGGACGAUCUGUAGAGAUAUGGAUCUUUCCCGCAAGGGAACUGGUUGACAGGUGCUGCAUGGCUGUCGUCAGCUCGUGUCGUGAGAUGUUGGGUUAAGUCCCGCAACGAGCGCAACCCCUGUCUCCUGUUGCCAUCAUUAAGUUGGGAACGCUGGAGAGGCCGCCGGUGUUAAACCGGAGGAAGGUGGGGAUGACGUCAAGUCCUCAUGGCCCUUGAUGUCCAGGGCUACACACGUACUACAAUGGUCGAUACAAACCGCUGCCAACCCGCGAGGGGGAGCAAACCGGAAAAAGUCGACCUCAGUUCGGAUUGAAGGCUGCAACUCGCCUUCAUGAAGUUGGAAUCGCUAGUAAUCGCAGAUCAGCAAGCUGCGGUGAAUACGUUCUCGGGCCUUGUACACACCGCCCGUCACACCACGAAAGUCCAUUGGACCAGAAGCUAUCGUUCUUUCGGUAUCCAAGGUCUGAUUGAUGAUUGGGGUG